GUCAGAGUAAUACUAAUGGAAAGACUGAGAUGAUGAAGACUCAACUAGAAACACUUCUCUCUCCCAGAUAUCAGUAUCAGACAAAAACUGCACUAUAGGCAUCCAGAGCAUGGUGGAAUUUACUCUGAGGCGAGGACUCAAUACUUGUCUUUCCAUUCUUCCUUAGGACCAUUUUCUUCUUGACAAAAAGAAUAAGGCUAUGAGAUCUCAGCAAAACAACUGUGCCCUGCCCAUCACUUGGCUUUGGAAUAAAAAAAAAUAAUGAUAUAAACUCUUUGACUUCCAGGAAUGAUAUGAACAGGAACUGUAAGAGCAGGAAGUCCAGAUGCUUCUGAGAGGACCCCAGCUCCUAAUUCCCAUUUGUAGACGGCUCAGAUCAAGACAAUCUCUUCAUGAAACAACUCAACACCUACUAAGGACUCAGAGAGCUUUCCCAAGGACCUUUUUUGUACCAAGACAGAAGGACCAAAACCAUCAGCUUUAAAGAAAACUGUGCCCUUCCCAACACUUGGCUUUGGAAAAAAGACAUGAAUGAUAUAAAUUCUCCGACUUCCAGGAACCAUAACUAGCAGGGAAGUCCAGAUGCAUCUGAGAGGCUCCCAUCUCCUGAUUACCAUAUUUGGAAGGCUCCAAUCAAUACUAUCUUUUCAGCAAACCUUCUCAACCACUACCCAGAAAUGACUGAGAUUUCCCAUGGACCACAUAUUUCUUUUUUUUUAUAACAAAGCAGAAGGCCAGCUUCCUUCUUCCCAUCUUUGAUCACUUCAUCCUCUUUUUUCUCCUUCCCAAAGGCUGUUUAUGCUGAAUUAGAGGCCAAAUAGUAAACCCUAGAGGUACUGAAGGACUACUGGAGAGGCAACUUCUGUCAGGACAACACUUGUUUCAUCACAGAAGAAACUAGGGAUCUCCAGGAUACAACAGAUUUUUUUAGAUAGGCCUAAUGGUGAUGUCACUGAGAAUUGCCAUGGCCUACCUGCUAAAGUGUUUUCCUUUCAAUGACCAGAUUCGAGGGUGCCCUUGCAAGGGCCAGACGUGAAGGUUUUCGAGGUUUUACCAUGGUUGUUACUUCAGGACAAACAUAAAAUUCAGGAGGAUGUGCAGGGAGAUGAAUGGCUUGAUGUCCAGGGAAACUUCAACUUCAAUAGGUUCAUAAGAACAAGAGGGAGGUGUUUGGAAUUGCCAUUUGUGGAUUCUACAUUCUUGACCUAGGUGUACAUAAUCCAUGUGAAAAUUCCACCUAACCUCAUAGCUGUAGGAGCCACCAAAUGUAUAGUUGGAACCAGAUGUACAUCUUUCCUGAGAGACACGGCUUGAGCAAGUCAAAUACAGAAGAGAAUGCUACUGGCAAACCAGUGAACCAAAAAUGGAUCUCUUGUUGGUAGUUU